rnacentral:tRNA from 1 species
UCGCUAAACAGUGGCGCAAUUGGUUAGCGCGCGGUACUUAUAAUGCCGAGGUUGUGAGUUCGAUCCUCACCUGGGGAA